GGCGAGUGAAGCGGCAACAGCUCAAAUUUGAAAUCUGGCUCCUUCGGGGUCCGAGUUGUAAUUUGCAGAAGAUGCUUCUGGUGUGGCCCCGGUCUAAGUCCCUUGGCACAGGACGUCGUAGAGGGUGAGAACCCCGUAUGUGACCGGUGGCCUAUGCCUCUGUGAAGCUCUUUCAACGAGUCGAGUUGUUUGGGAAUGCAGCUCAAAAUGGGUGGUAUAUUCCAUCUAAAGCUAAAUAUUGGCCAGAGACCGAUAGCGCACAAGUAGAGUGAUCGAAAGAUGAAAAGCACUUUGAAAAGAGAGUUAAAUAGUACGUGAAAUUGUUAAAAGGGAAGCUCUUGCUACCAGACGCGGGCGCCGUGGAUCAUCCUAGGUUUUCCUGGGUGCACUCGGCGGUGCUCGGGUCAGCAUCGGUUUUGGUGGUGGGACAAAGGCCCUGGGAAUGUAGCUCCUCUUCGGGGGAGUGUUAUAGCCCUCGGUGCAAUGCCACCUACCGGGACCGAGGACCGCGC
rnacentral:rRNA from 1 species